AUUGAACGCUGGCGGCGUGCCUAAUACAUGCAAGUAGAACGCAGUUGCGAACGGGUGAGUAACGCGUAGGUAACUGCCUGGUAGCGGGGGAUAACAAUUGGUAACGAUAGCUAAUACCGCAUACUACCAGAUGGACCUGCGUUGUAUUAGCUAGUUGGUGGGGUAACGGCCCACCAAGGCAACGAUACAUAGGCGACCUGAGAGGGUGAUCGGCCAAACUGGGACUGAGACACGGCCCAGACUCCUACGGGAGGCAGCGGUAGGGAAUCUUCGGCAAUGGGCGGAAGUCUGACCGAGCAACGCCGCGUGAGUGAAGAAGGUUUUCGGAUCGUAAAGCUCUGUUGUAAGGGAAGCGGUAUCUUACCAGAAAGGGACGGCUAACUCCGUGCCAGCAGCCGCGGUAAUUC
rnacentral:rRNA from 1 species